CGUGGCACUCACAAAUUCAUUUUUACCAUUGCGGUGCACGUGGUUUGAGGGUCUUCAAGCAUGGGAACUAAGAUGGGUCCCAACUAUGCUAACUUAUUUGUUGGUUUUAUGGAAAAAUAAAUCUUCAAACAAAUGCACUGAUUCCAUACCUGAUUACCUUGGUAGAUACAUAGAUGAUUGUCUUGGCACAGCAUCAUGUUCUCUUGUCGAAUUAGAGCACUUUAACUUUGUUAAUAAAUUCCAUCCAGCACUCCAGCUCACAUGAGAGAUUAGUGAUACCAGUGUAUCAUCAUUGAUAUCUUUGUAACAAUCAAUGGCAAUAAACUUGUCACUUCUGUUUUCUACAAGCUCACCGACUCCCACAACUAUCUUCACUAUCUUCUAUUUUCUUUUACCCACUCUAACCACUCCAAAAGGCCGAUUGUCUCAGUUCCUUCGCCCUCGCCGCAUUUGCAGCGAAGAUGAAGAAUUCCUGGCCAAACGUCAGGACAUGACGGAUUUUUUUGUCUAACGAGGCUAUCGUACCUCUAUUAGACACUGCCUCCCAAAUUUUCCGAACUGAGACCCUCAUUGAUCCUGUGUCUACUAUGACAGGUAAUAACCGAAUUCCCCCAUUUUUAACAUAUUAUUUUUCUUUCUAAAACUUUUAAUUCUAUAGGAUUAUUCUUCAAUAUCAUAUUAUUUCCGCAAAAAUUUUGAAGUAAGAGAUAUCAUUAGAAAGAAUUUCCAUGUCUUGAAAAACUACUCUCAAAAAUCAUCUUUGAUAAAUCCCCAUGUAGUCUCUUUUCGACAAAGCAAAUAUAUCGGAGAAUCCCUAGGUCGUACAUCCCCUACCACACAAUUGAUCGUGAUAUAAUGGCACGCUUCAUUAUCGGGUAAAUGUGGGAUGCUUUAUGUUGGAGAAACUUGAAGACUUUCGAAGACAGGGUUAGGUGAAAAUCGGCGUGCUGUCAUUGGUAACGAUGCCGCCAAUAAACCUGUUGCCAGACAUUUUACUACAGUGGCCAUCACAAUGUUUCAGCCGUCUGUCUUAUUUGUGAGCAACGAUACCGCCCCCCCCCAAAAAAAACAAAACAAAAAAAAACACAAAAAAAAACAAGAAAUGCGCAACAUUUCCAAGCUUGGCUCUGUCCAUCACUAUGAUAUAAAUUAAUGUUUUUCUUUUGUUUACCUAUAUUUGUACUUGCCUGACAUUAUUUCUCACCUUAUUCCUGACUUGUUCAAUUAUAUUCCUUACAUUUGUUUUGAUUAUCCUGUAGUUUCCUGCGCUUCUCCUCAGAUAUUCUGUAAUAUGAUUUACAUUUUUAUUUAUUUUUUUUUAUUUGCUGAUUCGCCCAAGAUAUUGAUAUUGCACAUAAAAGAAAUAAACUAUUUACAAGAAAUGGGCUAGGAGCCUACUAGAAACCAUAUGGCUUUUUGUUUUAGGCCCCUAGGUUAUAAAUUUAAACUAAUUAGCAAAA